AUUGAACGCUGGCGGCAGGCUUAACACAUGCAAGUCGAGCGGAGAGAGGUAGCUUGCUACCGAUCUUAGCGGCGGACGGGUGAGUAAUGCUUAGGAAUCUGCCUAUUAGUGGGGGACAACAUUUCGAAAGGAAUGCUAAUACCGCAUACGUCCUACGGGAGAAAGCAGGGGAUCUUCGGACCUUGCGCUAAUAGAUGAGCCUAAGUCGGAUUAGCUAGUUGGUGGGGUAAAGGCCUACCAAGGCGACGAUCUGUAGCGGGUCUGAGAGGAUGAUCCGCCACACUGGGACGGAGACACGGCCCAGACUCCUACGGGAGGCAGCAGUGGGGAAUAUUGGACAAUGGGCGCAAGCCUGAUCCAGCCAUGCCGCGUGUGUGAAGAAGGCCUUAUGGUUGUAAAGCACUUUAAGCGAGGAGGAGGCUACUUUAGUUAAUACCUAGAGAUAGUGGACGUUACUCGCAGAAUAAGCACCGGCUAACUCUGUGCCAGCAGCCGCGGUAA
rnacentral:rRNA from 1 species